UAGGGAAUCUUCGGCAAUGGCCGGAAGUCUGACCGAGCAACGCCGCGGGAGUGAAGAAGGUUUUCGGAUCGUAAAGCUCUGUUGUUAGAGAAGAACGUUGGUAGGAGUGGAAAAUCUACCAAGUGACGGUAACUAACCAGAAAGGGACGGCUAACUACGUGCCAGCAGCCGCGGUAAUACGUAGGUCCCGAGCGUUGUCCGGAUUUAUUGGGCGUAAAGCGAGCGCAGGCGGUUCUUUAAGUCUGAAGUUAAAGGCAGUGGCUUAACCAUUGUACGCUUUGGAAACUGGAGGACUUGAGUGCAGAAGGGGAGAGUGGAAUUCCAUGUGUAGCGGUGAAAUGCGUAGAUAUAUGGAGGAACACCGGUGGCGAAAGCGGCUCUCUGGUCUGUAACUGACGCUGAGGCUCGAAAGCGUGGGGAGCAAACAGG
rnacentral:rRNA from 1 species